UAAUGGUAUGAUGGUGUGAUG
rnacentral:piRNA from 1 species